UAGCGUAUAUUAAAGUUGUUGCAGUUAGAACGCUCGUAGUCGGAUUUCGGGGCGGGGCGACCGGUCUGCCGAUGGGUAUGCACUGGUCGGCGCGUCCUUCCUUCCGGAGACCGUUCCUACUCUUAACUGAGCGGGGGCGGGAGACGGAUCGUUUACUUUGAAAAAAUCAGAGUGUUUCAAGCAGGCAGCUCGCUCUUGCAUGGAUUAGCAUGGGAUAAUGAAAUAGGACUUUGGUGCUAUUUUGUUGGUUUCGAACACCGAAGUAAUGAUUAAAAGGGACAGUCAGGGGCACUCGUAUUCCGCCGAGAGAGGUGAAAUUCUCAGACCAGCGGAAGACGAACCACUGCGAAAGCAUUUG
rnacentral:rRNA from 1 species